rfam:Triticum aestivum genome assembly, contig: Triticum_aestivum_CS42_TGACv1_scaffold_328161_4BS
CACUACUCAGUUGGUAGAGUACAAAGCUUUUAACCUUAUGGAUGUGGGUUCGAGCCCCAUGGUGA